rnacentral:rRNA from 1 species
UACAUAGGGGGCAAGCGUUGUCCGGAUUUAUUGGGCGUAAAGAGCGUGUAGGCGGCCAGGGAGGUCCGUUGUGAAAACUCGAGGCUCAACCUCGAGACGCCGAUGGAAACCCCCUGGCUAGAGUCCGGAAGAGGAGAAUGGAAUUCCUGGUGUAGCGGUGAAAUGCGCAGAUAUCAGGAAGAACACCCGUGGCUAAGGCGGUUCUCUAGUACGGUACUGACGCUGAGACGCGAAAGCGUGGGGAGCGAACAGG